GCCAGCUGCUUGCUCCAGCCUGGGCUUACAGGAGAAAAGGGGCCACACCAUUUCCCCAGCUUUUGUCAGUUCCAGCAUGAGGGUAGGGUUCCCUGAGCCUGUUUCCUUAUCUGGUAAUGGGGUGACACCAACUAGGUCCACAAACACCCCUGAGGCAUAUGCUCUGUUGCUGCCCCAUCUACAGAUAAGGGAGACUCCCCAACCUCCAGGGUGAGGGAAGGACAGGGCUUGGGUUUGAAUCUCAAGGCUCCAAGGAUACACCUUUGGUUACUAGGCUCCGCUGCAACUCCAAGAGCUGGGCUGGGCCUGCAUGUCAGACUGGAGUCAGUGAAGGGUUGGAUUGUGCCUCCCGCAUUGGAUAGGGGUCCUUAAAAGGAAGGCUCAUGUCUCCUCCAGCAGACUGGGACCUUGUAAGUUAGUGCCAUGCCUCCUGUGUUGGACUGGGCACCUUGAAAUUUAGACCAUGCCUCCCCAUCAGACUGGGGACCCCUGAAGUUUGGACUAUGCCUCCCUCAUUAGACUGGGGAUGCUUGAAGGCAGGCCUAUGUCUCUUCCAUUCUUCUGGGACCCUUGAAAUCAAAGUUAUGUCUCCUCCAUUAGACAGGGGGCCUUUGAAGGUUGAACCUUUCCUCCCCCAUCAGACUGGAGACUCUUGAAGAUAGGUUUGUGUCUCCUUCAUCAGACUGGGAACCCCUCAAGGUAGGGGCAUAUCUCUCCCAUCAAAUGGAAGCCCCUGAAGUCAGAGCCACAACUCCUCCAUCAGACUGGGGUCUUCUGUGGGUGAGGCCAUGUCUCUGCCAUCAGACUGUGAGUUAAGGAAGGCAGAGCUGUCUGGGCACAGUGGCUCAUGCCUGUAAUCCCAGCCCUUCAGGAGGCCAAGGCAGGAGGAUUGCUUGAGCCCAGGAACAGGAGACCAGCUUGGGCAACAUGGAGAAACCCUGACUCUACAAAAACUACAAAAAUUGCCAGGCACGGUGCCUCACACCUGUAAUCCUAGCACUUUGGGAAGACAAGUUGUGUCCCUCCCAGCAGGUCCCCACCUCCGGCGCUCCGAGCUCGCCGCCUCCAGUCUUGGGCGUCCGGGUCUGUGUCCAGCUGGCUUAGCCUUGGCCCCGGAACUGCCGCCCCCCGGCCCUCCUUCCCUCCGUGGGCAGCGGCUCUCUCCCUCCCCAGAACAGCUGAAGGUCUCAGUCACCUGCGAGGGGAGCGCAGGGGGAGGGGAGAGGCGGGGGACGCGGCGGAGGGGAGGAGGGGGAACCUUGAUG
rnacentral:lncRNA from 13 species